rnacentral:tRNA from 1 species
GCUAUUUUGGCAAAAAAAUGUCAUGGUUUUAGAAAUCAUUAAUAUAUAAUUUAUUAUAUAGAUAGUA